AUUGAACGCUGGCGGCAGGCCUAACACCUGCAAGUCGAACGAGUGGCGGACGGGUGAGUAAUGUCUGGGAAACUCCCUGAUGGAGGGGGAUAACUACUGGAAACGGUAGCUAAUACCGCAUACCAUCAGAUGUGCCCAGAUGGGAUUAGCGAGUUGGUGGGGUAACGGCUCACCACGGCGCCGAUCCCUAGCUGGUCUGAGGGGAUAACCAGCCACCCUGGACCUGUGUCACGGUCCAGACUCCUACGGGAGGCAGCAGUGGGGAAUAUUGCACAAGGGGCGCAAGCCUGAUGCAGCCAUGCCGCGUGUAUGAAGAAGGCCUUCGGGUUGUAAAGUACUUUCAGCGGGGAGGCGUUACCCGCAGAAGAAGCACCGGCUAACUAAGGGCCAGCAGCCGCGGUAAUAC
rnacentral:rRNA from 1 species